rnacentral:lncRNA from 1 species
CAGAGGGCACCUGUUCCAGGUCACCCUCAAAUCUGCCAGUGCCUCUGUGCGUGGCAGAACUUUCAGUUUUGGAGCAGGCAGGAGUGUAUUGGAGGAGUUCGUUUGAUUACAGAAACAAGCAACAUUUAAGUGACAUCGCCUGCUUGGGCUGCAAAGGUACUGGCUUUUUUAAAGAGGGAGAGAAACAUGGGGAGGGAGUGAAAUGCCUAACUUUUCUCUUCCUCUCUUCCUCUCGUCUAAAUUCUCUAUUUAUUAGAUUUAUUUAUACUUCUGUAAGGAGAUUUGUAUUUUCUAUAUAGGUUUUGAGAUAAUCAUUAAAUAUUGGCCAAUCUGUUAACUCUUUGUGUGGUGUUUCCUCUUAAUCUCACAGAUAAUUUUGUAAGCUGUAUUCAAUCAUUUUUUCUAACCAGUCAGUUUUCAUGGGAAUAUUGUUACUUUUCUAAUUUUUUGCUAUUAACAUCCUCGCUGCGGUGGUCUUGUACAUAAAUAUAGAUCAGGCAGUUUUUGUAAUUUCUCGUGACAUAAUACCAAGUAAAAAAGCCUCAGGUUUUUUAUUGAAUGAAAAUUUAAACAUUUUUAAAAUUUCAUUAUAAAUAACCUCCCAGAAUUCUCUUAUUUUCUUGCACUUCCACCACAUGUUGAUAAAUGUGCCUAUUCCUUCUUUACACCUCCAACAAAUGUUCGUGUUCUUCUUAUAUAUCUUUGCCAAUUUGAUGGGGUUAAAUACCACCUGUAUUGCAUUUUCAGUACGUUUUCUCUUAAAUUAUAACAGAGUGAAUCAAAUAUCUUUUUUCCAUAAUCAUUCCCAGUCACUCAUAUGCUACUGUAAUAUGGAGCAAAGGAAACAUUUGUGAAAAAGAUGACCUUUCCUUGUAAUGAGAUUUUAAGCACAGCCUUAUAGAGCCUCCCAGUGAAAAAGGCUAAUUGAAUGGAAUGGGAUUUCCUCCUGAGUAAACAUGGUCAUAUGGUCAUAUGUUCCCUCAAUGGAGAGGGGAAUACAUAAUGUGCAUUUAUUUAUUUAUUGCUGCUUAGUACCAGUCUAACUGGGACAUGGGUGGGCUGUGGUCUAAACCACUGAGCCUAGGGCUUGCAGAUCGGAAGGUUGGUGGUUCGAAUCCCCACGACGGGGUGAGCUCCCGUUACUCAGUCCCAGCUCCUGCCAACCUAGCAGUUCGAAAGCACGCCAAAAAGUGCAAGUAGAUAAAUAGAUACCGCUCCGGUGGGAAGGUAAUCGGCGUUUCCGUGCGCUGCUCUGGUUUCACCAGAAGUGGCUUAGUCAUGCUGGCCACAUGACCCGGAAAAACUGUCUGGCUCCCUCAGCCAGUAAAGUGAGAUGAGUGCCGAAACCCCAGAGUCGUUCGCGACUGGACUUAACUGUCUGGAGUCCUUUACCUUUACCUUUUAAACACGGUCAUACUGUCUUUGUAUUAAACUGCAAAUUGUCUUCAAGCUGUGACUAUGAGGUUUUGGUCAUAUGCACCAUUAUUAAAAUUGAUUAAGCAAUUAAUCCAUGGAAAGGCAGUUGAUUUAUCAACUAGAAAUGGUUUAACUGGUUGACAGCCCUUGUCACAACACACACAUUGCAUAAAGAAACCAUGGCACAGAUGUGGUUUGCAUUGCACUCCACAAGAGGGCCAUAACGCAUCAGUCAUCCCUUAGUUUCCUCUUGGGAGAAGUGAGCUGAGUGAAUGUCUGUGUUUGUACAAGGAGGGGGUCAUGUUCUAGUCUGGCUACCUUUCCAAAUUCCUGGAUUGAUUCUGGCUGAAAUACAGCCCCAUUGAUCCAGGUAGUAAAAUCUCCCAUGGAAAUUGGUCUGCGGACUCCCUUUCCCUUCACAAGGGCAAGGCUCUUUUGCAGUGGAACUGGCAGGAUGCCUUAAUUGGCACUUUGAAUCUCUUCCGCUUAAGAGUUGUGACCAUACAUCUCUGAACAGGUUUCUGCCUUCUGUAAGAUUGGAAAAGAAGCGAUCAAUAGAAUCAAGUAAUCCAAAGAAAGCAAAGGGACGGCCCGUCUGCUGGGGUCCUGAGACACUCCCUGUCCUGGGACACCUGCCUCCAAUGAAUCCUGAGGUCUAUAAUAUAUCUUCAUGUGUGAUCCUGGUGAUACUUCUUUUUAAGUUGUUGGGUGUACUCAAGAUUAUUUUUUAUUAAUUACUUAUAUAUCCUGCCUUUGCCUCCAAGGAGCUAAGGUGAGACACAUGGUUCUUCCUCCUGCACCUGUGAGGUAGGUUAUACUGAGAGACUGUGAUUAGCUUUGUGGCUGAGUGAAGAUUUGAACCCUGGUCUCCCAGGUCCUUGCCCCAAACUUGGAUCUUGGCAUCCAGGAACUAUCCUUUCUAUAUAUUAUUUAUUAUUUUUAUUUAUUAAGUUUGUAUUCCGUCCUUCAUCCGAAGACCACAGGGCAGUUCACAACAUAACAAUAGAAACUAAGAACACAAAAUUCACAAUAAAGCAAAAACAAACCAAUAGCCCACCCCUCUAUAAACACAUUUAAAAGGAAUGUUAAUUAGCCAAAGGCCUGGUUAUAGAGAGAUAUUUUCACCUGGCACUUAAAGAUAUCUAACAAAGGUGCCAGGUGAGUCUCCCUGGGGAAAGUAUUCCAGAAGCAGGGAGCCACUGCAAAAAAGGCCCAUUCUUCUCUUACAACUCUCUGGACCUCUCAAGGAGGGGGAACAUGAAGAAGGACCUCAGGUGAUAGAAUCAUAGAAUCAUAGAAUCAUAGAGUUGGAAGAGACCACAAGGGCCAUCGAGUCCAACUCCCUGCCAAGCAGGAAACACCAUCAGAGCACUCCUGACAUAUGGUUGUCAAGCCUCUGCUUAAAGACCUCCAAAGAAGGAGACUCCACCACACUCCUUGGCAGCAAAUUCCACUGUCAAACAGCUCUUACUGUCAGGAAGUUCUUCCUAAUGUUUAGGUGGAAUCUUCUUUCUUGUAGUUUGGAUCCAUUGCUCCGCGUCCGCUUCUCUGGAGCAGCAGAAAACAAGCUUUCUCCCUCCUCUAUGUGACAUCCUUUUAUAUAUUUGAACAUGGCUAUCAUAUCACCCCUUAACCUCCUCUUCUCCAGGCUAAACAUGCCCAGCUCCCUUAGCCGUUCCUCAUAAGGCAUCGUUUCCAGGCCUUUGACCAUUUUGGUUGCCCUCCUCUGGACACGUGAUGAUCACAGGGUCCAGGCAAGUUCAUAUGGGGAGAGGUCCCCCCCUUUUUGCAGCAACGUUUUGCACCCUUAAAAGACAGUUUGUUUACUUAUUCAUUCCAUUUAUAUCCCACCUCUUUCUCCAAGGAGCUCAAGGUGGCAUAAAUGGUUUUCCUCACAUCUCCUUUUAUCCCCAUAACAACCCUGUGAGGUAGAUUAGGCUGAGAGGCAGUGGCUGGCCUAAAGUCACCCAGGUAGCUUCAUGGCCGAGUGGCAAUUUGAACCCUAGUCUCCCAGGUACUAUUCUGAUACUCUAACCACUACACCACACUGGCUCUCAAAAAUAUCAGGAACUUUCUUCACAGGUAACCAACCACAAAGGGACUCAAAUCCUUAGUCUUCUAGUCUGAAUUCAGACACCUUAUCCAUUAGGCCACGUGAUCAUCAUUUAGCCGUAGUGCUUUCCGAAUGUGUUGGAACUGAAUCAUGCAAGCGGAUCCAUUGUGGGUGGAAACAUUUGAUUAAACCAGCUUAAAAUGACAACAACAGAAAACUGUUGUGGGUUCAGUUUACUAACACAUGCUAGCUUCCAAGUUAGUGUAGGUGGAGCAAAUGAAUGCAACAUUCAGCAGGUGGCAUAUGCCGUGCUGUUGGUGUUGUGACAGGAGAGCCACUACACAAGAAUGCCCAUUUCCUUCCUUGAAAUGUUGUGAGGCAUAUUAGCUCUGGCCCGCAAAAUGAAACCAUAUGCUAUAACCACGUUCCUGGCUCCAGACCCCAAGGUCACUGUCAGGGGGUGUUAAGCAGGAUAUAGGAGCAAAGAGAAAAGGGAUGUGCAGAUGUGUAGAAACAGUACACAUUUGACAGAUUUGUAAUUAUGUGCUUAAUUUGCAUGAAUUUGAUGGUUUUGUGCAAACAUUUGACAUGUUUUAUUUAUCCAUUACUAUGCCAGUUUACUGCUGUUGCAGAACCCAAAAAAAUCCAACAACCUCGAUUCUGAAAAUUUGCUGGGAGGAGAAGAAUGUAUUAUGCAUAUUAUACCACUUAUGUAAAUGAUAUUGGAUUAUUUGCACUAAGAAUUGAAUCAAAUGUGAUUUAUUAGACAUAAACUCCUUUGCAGCAUCAGCAGAACUGAUAGCUUUCUUUGAGAUCUCAAUAUAUCCCUCACUCGGUUAGAUACUUCAUCCUCGCUCUGUAAGUCAGGAGGAAGGGUGAAAGCGGCAUUGGGAAGGCUGGCAAACAGCAGGCAAGGGCAGAGGACAAAGGCACUGAGGGUUAAUGGAGAGCAACAUGGAGAGGAGAAUGAAGAGCACAAAAACGUAUUUCCAUUAUGUUCUAGUGAUUGUCACUAUCUAAAGGAUCUACUUCUAUCACAGCUGCUGGAAAUCUCUCCCUGAGCCUUCCCAAUUGCAAAGCUUUAUAAGAUUGAUGCCCCACUUUGAUAGCUAUCCUCUACCACAAUGAGGUCUAGAAGCUUCUCCUUUUGAGAGAGCUGAGAAUCAUGAAUAAGCACUUGGUGCAAUAGAGCCUUUCCCCCAUAUAGUCUGCCCAGGUAGCUGUGAUUUGUGGAAGGAGUCUGCCUGAUUGUCCUGUCAUUUGGCUAGGGUUGGAGCAGGGCAUUUUGCACUAUGGUGCCCAUUUUGUGGAAUGAGCUCCCUAUGGAGAUCAGGGGAGCAUUGGAGGGGGUGCCAAACUGGGUCUUUGACCUGGGUAAAAUAAAGCCUAGUUUUGUCCCUACUGUCUGGAUGCUUUAAAAGUAUUUAUUUAAAUGGUUCUGCAUUUAUUGUGUUUCUAAAUUUAGACAUAGAUAAAUGAGUGUGUGAGAGAGGAAUUCAUUCAGGGGACCAGAGACAACACAUAUCACACUUCUGCACAACAGAGCAGGCUGUUUCAAUAAACUUUUUCUCUCCCUUACUUCCAUUUGUUGGAUCCUUAAGACCUAUGCUUAAUAUUAUUGUUGCCGAAUCUGCUGUUAGCUUUGAACGAAGAAAGCAGUAAGAGUGGCACCAGCUUAGGUGCUCUGAUAGGGAGUCGCAGACAUAAUGAAAAGAAAGGGGGAAAUGGCCCUUUUUUAGAGUGCAGGGGGCCUUCAGGUGGCUGAAGCUGAAGAGAUGGCGGGAAGAUCAGGAGUAGGGAUAUUGCAGGAUAUAAUGGGAAGUGAGACAAGAUCAUUUAAAGAGAAGGCCGUGAGGAAUCAGAAAACGGCUUUUGCAAAACCAGUUUAUGCCACACAUGUCUCUUUACCUUCCAGUUAACUGGAAGUACAUUUGGCCUGAAUGUUCUCCAGCAAAAUUAUUACUCAUUUAGUUCAAGCAUUGUUAUCCCACUCUUCAGCCAAAAAAGGCUUUCAAAAGUGGCUUACAAUAUCUAUAUAAAAAAGACAGUCACUACCCACUGACUUACAAGCUAAGAAAAACAACACAGAAGGAAAGGUCAUUAGGAGGGAAGAGGAAUGCAACAAACAGGCAUUAGUUCUUAGUUCCAAAGUUCACACUUGUAUUAAUUCUGGCACACAAGAGGGAGGCAAUCCCCAUGUAGCUGAAUGGGCCAGUUAGUGUCCCUCCCUUGGCCCACUUCAGCAGUCCCAGGGAAACUGGUAGUUAAAAGCGAAGGUUCUACCUGGUAGGGAAGGGGAUGAAAGCCUCUUUUAGCUGUUUCUUCUUUGGCCAGUGGGUGAGGUCUGGUUGUGUGCCUUGCUUGCCUGAUGGUCCUCCCCAGUAUCAUUAGCUCCAAUUGUUGGGAAGCUGCCUCCAAGACUGGGCUCAGGAUGCUGCCAUUUCUGCUGCACUCCAGAGAAGUCUGGUGCUGUGGGACAAGGAGGGGCUCCCACAGGUCUUAUUUUCUGGCUGUAAAACCAGCACAUUUACAAGAUGCCUCUGGUAACCUAGCACAAAUUUGUUCCAAAUGGCAUUGUGCAAAACUGUGGCCUGAUUUGUGCCAAUCCGAAAGUGAGGGCUUGCUUUAUGACUUGGAGAGAGAGUGAGGAGGGGCACUUUGAUCAUGCCGUGCUCCCAGCAUCAAAUUUUAAACGCUUGCUGACCCUUGUCACAGAAAGCUUUUUGACACAUGGCCUGUUGGCAUCUUUGGGCAGCAGCAAGCAUUACCUUGGGCUGGCUUGGCUACGCACUUGGUCAGAUUAGGCAUUCUGAGCAAAUUUGACAGAGCACAGCACUGUAGUGCCAUUAGAGAAUGAGAGCACUUCACCUAAGUGCCGCUCCCAGAUUCUAGGUCAGAAGGAACACCUGAGGUCAUCUAGCCUGAGAGGUCUCUUCUCAGCUGAAGGAAACAGUGAGGAAUUACUACUGGUUUUCUGGCAUACACACUUUUCAAACUGAUGUAUUUUUUUUUUAUAAGAUAUUUAUUAAGAUUUUCAAAAUAUUACAAAAUAAAAAUAGAAAAAAGAAAAACACAAAAAAUAAAAAUAGUUAAAAACAACUCAAUCUUUCCAUUACUUAUUUUUCAUUAGCUUGUUUCCCGGACCUCCUCACGCCUCCCUUUUUUGUAUUCCAGUUCGGUUUGUUGGUUCAGCAAAUCCUUCCCCUCUUUGUCUAUCCUAAUCAUUAAUCUUAAAAUAUUGUAACAUUAAAUUUUUACCUGUUAGUAAUCCAUUUUUCAUAAUCCCUUAAAGCAUUACAGCUGGAAACCACUUAAUUUCUAUCCAACAUCAUUCUAACAUUCAUUAAUUUUACAAUAUUUCUGUAAAUAGUCUUUAAAUUUCUUCCAAUCUUCUUCCACCGACUCUUCUCCCUGGUCCCGGAUUCUGCCAGUCAUUUCCGCCAAUUCCAUAUAGUCAAUCACCUUCAUCUGCCAUUCUUCCAGAGUGGGUAGAUCUUGUGUCUUCCAAUACUUUGCAAUAAGUAUUCUUGCUGCUGUUGUGGCAUACAUAAAAAAAGUUCUAUCCUUCUUUGGCACCAAUUGGCCGACUAUGCCCAGGAGAAAGGCCUCUGGUUUCUUCAAGAAGGUAUAUUUAAAUACUUUUUCAAUUCAUUAUAGAUCAUCUCCCAGAAAGCCUUAAUCCUUGGGCACGUCCACCAAAGGUGAAAGAAUGUACCUUCAGUUUCUUUACAUUUCCAACAUUUAUUAUCGGGCAAAUGAUAGAUUUUUGCAAGCUUGACUGGAGUCAUGUACCACCUAUAUACCAUUUUCAUAAUAUUCUCUCUUAAGGCAUUACAUGCCGUAAACUUCAUACCUGUGGUCCAUAACUGUUCCCAGUCAGCCAUCAUUAUAUUAUGUCCAAAAUCUUGUGCCCAUUUAAUCAUAGCAGAUUUCACCGUUUCAUCCUGAGUAUUCCAUUUCAACAGCAAGUUAUACAUCUUUGACAAAAUCUUAGUUUUGGGUUCUGUCAGGGAACUGACAUCAGAGCGAGAGGCGAAGGGGAGGCUNNNNNNNNNNNNNNNNNNNNNNNNNNNNNNNNNNNNNNNNNNNNNNNNNNNNNNNNNNNNNNNNNNNNNNNNNNNNNNNNNNNNNNNNNNNNNNNNNNNNGGUUGAUAUUUGUUUCAUCUCCAUCCUUACAGCAUUAUGGUCGGAGCAGGUUUUGGGCAGAUUUCUACUUUCUUUAUCUUUGGUGCCAUUCCUCUAGUUAUCCAUAUUUGGUCAAUUCUAGUCCAUGUCAUCUUGGCUUCAGAAAAGAAGGUUCCCUCUCUUCCCAAGGGGUUCUUUACUCUCCAGAUAUCCACUAAGUCUAUAUUGUCUGUCAUCUCAAAAAUGUUUUCGGUAGUCUACCAUCCUUGGUAACUACCUGUCUUUGUGCCUUAUCCAUGUUUGUAGAUACUACUCCAUUCAUGUCCCCCAUCAAAAUCAAAUUGUAAUCCAAAUAGUCCAGUAAAGUCUCGUGCAACUUUUAAAGAAUUCAGAUUUCCCCUCAUUCGGUGCAUAAAUUCCUACUAUCAAGAAUUUCUCUCCUUGAACUUGAAUUUCAAUUGCCAAAAAUCUUCCUUGGUCAUCUUUAAAAAUUAAUUUCGGUGAUAGUCUCUCCUUUGCAUAUAUCACAACUCCUCUUUUUUAACUUUGUCAGAUGAGAUAAACUCCUGUCCCAAUCUUUUAUUAAUCAGUAGUUUCCUGUAGCCUUGUUAUAUGUGUUUCUUGUAAACAAAUCAAGUCCAAUUGUUCCUUUUUAGUAGAUGAAAAACACUUUUUCUCUUUCGAGGAGUUCAAACCAUUACAAUUCCAGCUUAACAGUUGCAGAGCCAUGAUGGGGUUACUUCACUUUACCUCCAACUGCACCAAGUGUCUGUUCUUGUUCUGUAGAUGGUGUCUCUUUCUCUGGGCCGUGCAAUCCAAAGAUAAGUUUGCUAUGUCUAGUAUGCCUUUUGGCUCUUCUCCAGAUUCCGCUUCUUUCUGUAGGUCUUCUUCGUGAUCUUUCAAGAACCUGUCCUUAUCAUUAACUGAUCUUAUUUUUAUCUUUCUUCCUUUGUAUUUAAAGGAUAGGCCUUGAGGAAAUUCCCACCUGAAAAGAAUUCUAUUUCUUUUCAACAGGGCAACUAGGUCUCCGUAGUUAAACCUUAAGUCCAAAAGAUGUUUUGGAAUGUCCUUAAAUAUCACCACACUUGAGUCGUAAAUUUCCAAAGUCUUUUGAUAGUGCAAAUUCAAAAUUUUGUCUCUCUCUUCUUUUGUUCGAAGGGUAAUCAAGCAGUCCCUCACCUUGUUCCUGCUUUGUCCUCUUCCAAGUCUAAAUGCAUUCACUAUCUUAAAUUCUUCCUUCCCCAAGUCCUGUUGCCAAAAAUCUGUAAAUUCCUGUGUAAGAAAGUCAGCCAGGUUAUCUUUCUCCCGUUCUGGUACGGCCCUGAUUCUUAAAUUUCUUUGUCUCUCUUUCAAUUCAAUCAUAGACAAUGUCAAAUCGUGGUCCUCCAAUUUCUUAUAUACUGGUGGUAUCUUCUCUUGAAUAGCAGUUGCAAUAUCUUUUGCUUCUUCGGCUAUCUUUUGGGUCGAAGCAGAUUCCUGUAAUAAUUUUUCAAUAGACUCUGUAUUGGUGUUCACCUUCUGUCCCAAAUUAUUAAUACUUGUAGUAUUCAGAUCAAUUUUACCUGAUGCUUCAGCUACUUGUUUAUUAGUCUCAGCUACCUGCUUAGCUAAAUUUUCCAAAGAUUCAUUAAUUUUUCCAAGUGCAUGUGCCAAAACGUCUCGGACGACAUAACUUUUGGUUUGACCUGUGGGGGUGCAGCCCCUGAUGUUCCAGAUGCUCCAGAUGUUGAAGCCCUUUGCUGCUGCGCAGUAUCUGUCCGAUAGUGUCUGCCAGACCUAGUAGUUUUUUCCUGCGCCAGCUCUAUCUUUCCUUUCCCAUCUGCUAUAACACUCUCAUGAGAAUUCAAGGUCGUUCCCACAGUUGAAAGUUUGUUUUGAAAUGGAAUUUUCCUCUAACCCAGUUGUUAUUGUAACAAUGUCCAGCCUCCUCUAGGGGGACACAGUAACAGCCAAAGCUUGCAACUUUUAAGAACAAAGAGGGUCUUUAUAAGUCCCCCAAUUCACUUAAAAAACAACAGUUUCAUUGCACUUGAACAGUUACUUUAAAGCCAGGAGAAGUCCAGAAACACUGUAUCUCUUCUGCAGAGUUAGCUGUCAAAAAUCCUCUGCUUACCGAUAGGCUUUCCACUGAACGGCAUUCCUUGUCUAGGGGCAGUCCGUUCCCAGGUUUUAAGCAGCAGAUUUUAGCUUCCUUUCCCCCCUUUUUUUGCAGGUAAAUACAACUCAAACCUUCCCCCCUCCUCUCCUGCAAUCCGGAGGGGAGACCACUUUCCAGAUGUUAAGAUUUAAGUCUUUUUUCCGAACGUCUUUCUAUGUUUCCGCUUUACAGUCUCUUUGCUUUGAUCUAUUUACAAGAAAGGAAGGCAGACUUCCUGAUUAUACCUUCCCGCUUCAGUGCCGAAUUAGCUAUUUUUUUCUCCUUUUAAAUCCAAUUUAAUCCUACUCACGGGUAGUUGCUUUCAAAAUCCAAUUAUCCCAGGAAAAAGUCAGCGCUCUCCGAUAACGGCUGUGCGGCUUCACUCCGCGGAAGAAGCAGUCGACUCUCAGCACCGCGCCGCUCACCCCGCCCCGCUCCGGUGCCCUUAAAAGGGUCCCUUCGCAGCUUGGGGGGGCGCAAAUGGUGCCCGCCGAGUCCCCACGUUCACAGGCUUCCCCCGCCUGUGAUUUCUAAAGGGUCCCCGCUUUGCCGCAGCGGUAAGACCCGAUCCAGCGGAGCUGGUCCCUCCGAGAAUCAGAGGGAAUCCGCCAUUAACGAUGGCGCUGACCCCGGAGUCAUUUCCCAAUAUUUCGGCCAUUUGCUAUAUCUAAUAUUCCUCUUUCCAGUGCUUUUGGCUCUUCUCCAGAUUCCACUUCUUUCUGUAAGUCUUCUCCAUGGUCUUUCAAGAAUCUAUCUUUGUCAACGACUGAUCUUAUUUUUAUCUUUCUUCCUUUAUAUUUAAAAGACAGGCCUUGGGGAAAUUCCCACCUAAAGAUGAUUCUAUUGCUUCUCAACAGGGCAACCAAAUCUUUGUAAUCCAAAAGAUGUUUUGGAAUGUCCUUAAAUAUCUCCACACUUGACUCAUGUAUUUCCAAAGUCUUUCGGAAAUGCAGAUUCAAGAUUUUGUCUCUCUCCUCUUUUGUUCAAAGGGUAAUCAAACAGUCUCUCACCUUGUUCUUCUUUCCUCCUCUUCCAAGCCUGAAUGCGUUCACUAUCUUAAAUUCUUCCUUCCCCAAAUCCUGUUGCCAGAAGUCUGCAAAUUCCUGCGUAAGAAAGUCAAUCAAAUUAUCUUUCUCAAGUUCAGGUACAGCCCUGAUUCUCAAAUUCGUUUGUUUCUCCUUCAAUUCAAUAAUAGACAACGUCAACCCGUGGUCCUCAAGUUGCCUAUAUAUCGGUGGUAUCUUCUCUUCAGUAGCCGUUGCUAUGUCCUUUGCUUCUUCAGCUCUCUUUCGGGUCAAAGCAGAUUCCUGUAACAAUUUCUCAAUAGUCUCUGUAUUGGUGUUCACCUUCUGUCCCAAAUUAUUAAUACUUGUAGUAUUUUGGUCAAUUUUAACUGAUGCUUCGGCUACUUGUUUAUUUGUUUCAGCUACUUGUUUACUUAAAUUUUCCAAAGAUUCAUUAAUUUUUCCUAGUGCCAAAGCUAAAACGUCUUCAGACGACAUUCCUUUUGGUUUAACUUGUAGGGGUGCAGCCCCUGAUAAUCCAGAUGGUCCAGAAGGACCAGAUGUUGAAGCUCUUCGCUGCGACCCAGUAUCUGUACGAAAGGAUCUGCCAGACCUGGUAGUUUUUUCCUGAAUCUCUAACUUUCCUCUUCCAUCUGCCAUAACACUCUAAUAAAAGUCCAAGGUCAGUCCCACGGCUGGAAUUUGUUUUGAAAUGGAAAAUUCCCCUAGCCCAGUUGUUAUUGUAGCAAUGUCAAACCUCCUCUAGGGGACACAGUAACAGUCAAAGCUUGUAACUUUAAGAAGAAAAUAAUCUUUAUAAAUCCCCCAAUUCUCAAAAAGACAACAGUUUCAAUUGCACUUAAUCAGUUACUUUAAAACCAGGAGAAGUCCAGAAACACUGUAUCUCUCUUGCAGAGUUAGCUGUCAAAAAUACUCUAUUUACCAAUAGUGCUUUUCACAGAACAGCAUUCCUUUUUUUUUUAAAUGAUAUUUAUUAAAGUUUCACAAAGAAAGAAUCACAUCAACAAAAAAAAGAAAAAUUCAAGAAUAAAAAGAAAAAAGAAAAAACAGUUAAAAACAAUUCCCUCUUUUCAUCACUACUUUUACAUUUACUUGUUUCCCGGACCUCCUCAUACCUCCCUCUUUUGUAUUCCAAUUCAGUUUGUUAGUCCAGCAAUUCCUUUACAGAACGGCAUUCCUUGUCCUAAGGCAAUCCGUUCCCAGGUUCUAAGCGGUGGAUUUUAGCUUCCUUUCCUCUCUUUUUUUUGCAGAUAAAUACAGUUCAAACCUUUCCCCCCUCCUCUCCUGCAAUCCGGAGGGGAGAUCGCUUUUCUGAUGUUAGGAUUUGCGUCCUUUUUCAAGCAUCUUUCAAAGUUUCCGCUUACAGUCUCUUUGCUUUGAUCUGUUUACAAGAAACGGAAGGCGGACUUCCUGUUUAUGCCUCCCCGCUUCGGUGCCGAAUUAAUUGUUUUCUCCCUUUAAAUCCAAUUUUUUCCUACUCACGGGUAGUUGCUUUUGAAUUCGAAUUGUCCCAGGAAAAAGUCAGUGCUCUCCAAUAACGGCUGUGCGGCUUCACUCCGCGGAAGAAGCAGUCGACUCUCAGCACCGCGCCGCUCACCCCGUUUCGCUCCGGAGCCCAUAAAUGGGUUCCUUCGCAGAUUGGGGGGGGCGCAAAAGGUGCCCGCCGAGUCCCACGUUCACAGGCUUCACCCGCCUGUGAUUUUUAAAGGGUUCCCGCUUCGCCGCAGCGGUGCAGACCUGAUCCCGCGGAGCUGGUCCCUCAGAAAGUCAGAGGGAAUCCGCCAUUACCGAUGGCGCCAACCCGGAAGUCCCUCAAACUGAUGUAUAUACUGUAGCUCACACCCUCUUUUUGGCGUGCAGAAUGCCCUUCUUCGGAGAAGACUUUGGUACAGUUUGAUUUGAAAGAUGGCUCAACGGCCUUUGAUAGUUGGUGGUCUCUCACAACUGGGCCCACUCCUGACAGCUAAACAAAAGAGUUUGAAUGCAGCUUUGCAGCUGGCUGGUAAGAUGACACUGGGAUGGGAGGGAGGCUCCCAAGGCAGGCUGCUAUUCAGACUCACACUGUAUGUCUGGAUGCUGAAGAAACAGAUAAUGCAAAACACCAUCAAUCUCCAGCCUUCUGUUCUUUGUGGGAAAACUGGCUCUCUAAAAUGUUCCUUCUGGAACAUCCUACCAUGUGGGGGUGGGGGGAAGAGUGAGGAUCACAAAACUAAUCUUGAUUUUCCAAAGUUUUCCUUUCAGAAAGCUCCAAAUGACUUACUAGGGGCCUCCAGUGCUCCUGUGGUUUGACCAAGGCAGAACAGAGGGAGACUAUUAGUUCCCUUGAUCCAGAUGCUAGACUUCUGUUGAUGCAGCCUAAAAUAGCAUUAGCUUUUUUUUGCUGCUGCAUCACACUGUUGACUCAUGCUAAGCUUGUGCUCCACCAAGACCCCUAGAUCCUUUUCACAUGUACUGCUAGUAAGCCAGUUGUCUCCCAUCUUAGAUUUGUGCAUCUGGUUCUUCCUGCCUAAGUGCAGAAUAUUACAUUUGUCCCUAAUGAAAUUCAUUUUGUUAGCUUGCGACCAGUUCUCCAAUCUGUUAAGGUCAUCUUGAACUCUGAUUCUGUUUUCUGAGGCAUUAGCUACCCCUCCCAGUUUGGUGUCAUCUGCAAAAUUUGAUGAGCAUCCUCUCAAUUCCUUCAUCCAAGUCAUUUAUGAAGACAUUGAACAACAACGGGCCAAGGACAGAACCCUCUGGCACCCCACUUGUCACUUUUUCCCUGGAUGAUGAGGAACCAUCAAUGAGUAUUCUUUGCAUUCAGUCAGUCAACCAGCCACAAAUCCACCUAACAGUUAUCUCUUUCAACCCACAUUUUACUUUCUCGCAAGAAUAUAAUGGGCUAGUUUCUCAAAAGCCUUACUGAAAUCAAGAUACACUAUGUCCACAGCAUUCCCCUGAUUCAUCAAGCUUGUAACUCCAUCAAAAAAAGAAAUGAGAUUUGCCUGACAUGGCCUAUUUUUGAGAAACCUAUGUUGGGUCUUGGUAAUCACGGCAUCCUUUUCUAAGUGCUAAGUUCAAUUGUUGAAUUAUCUUUUCUAGGACCUUUCCUGGUAUUGAUGUCAAGCUCACCGGUCAGUAGUUACCCUGGUCUUCUCCCCCCCCCCCACCUUUUGAAGAUGAGGACACCAUUUGUUCACCUCCAGUCUGCAGGAACCUCACCCGUUCUCCAAUAAUUCUCAAAGAUCAUAGACAAAGGCUCUGAGAUUACAUCCGCAAGCUCCUUUAGUACCCUUGGAUGCAGUUCAACGGGUCCUGGAAAUCUGAAUUUAUUUAAACUAGUUAGGGGUUCCUUACUACCUUUUUUGCUAUCUUGGGCUGCAGCUCCCUCCUUUCGUCAUUUAUUCUGUUAUCACCCAGUCGGGCAUCGCUUUCCUAUUGGGUGAAGACAGAGGCAAAGUAGGUGUUGAGUAGUUCUGCCUUCUCUCUGUCACCCAGUCCUAUACACGUCUUCUCAGACAUGCCCCAUUAAGUUACUCUCCCCAGAAGUGCCUUUAGGGUGGCAGCUGUAGUGAACUUUUAGAUGCUUUGAUGAUGGCAAUGGCAUUAGCUUUUGUAGCGCAUAGUCAAGAUGCCAUGCCAAUAAUAAAUGAAGAACAACCAGAGAAGAAUUGUAGCCAGAUGGCAGCUGCUUGGGUUUUCCUCCUAGCCCGCCUAUUUUAUCAAGCUGAGUUUUCUUGCAUACUCUGAAUAAUAUGUCAUCUGAAAAAUGAAGAGCUUGCUUUUUGAUGGGGAUGGAGCACUUCUGAUACUCAUGUGCAAUUAAAAGAAAUGACUUGAACUUUUGCCAAGAUGCUGAUGGCACAGAUGGCAGCUGAUCCCAACCUCAGAGGGCCACAGAGGAUUGUCUGGAGUGCACAACUGAAUCCUCCUGGCUUUGCUCAUGGGAGAGGGAAAGCAGCUGACACACACUCAGAGAGGAGCUAAGCACACUCCAAGCUGACCUCAGAGCUCUAAUGCCCAGCUUUCUGCCUAAUUCUGCAGUCUGCAGUCUUUUCAGAUACUGUCUUUGGAUCUGCCUUGCUCACCAUUUCCUUCCUAAAUAACUUUUCUCUUGCAUUCCUCUCUUAUGGCGUUAAUUUCCCAAUGUAUGAGCCAUGAGCAAACAAUCUAUGAGAAAGGGAUUGGAUAAUUAUUGUUACACACCACCACAAUUUCUGCUGAGUGGCUACACAAGAUUCCAAGGGUUCCAGGCGCUCAUGCAGAGUUGUGUUUCUGUUGAGAAGUCAAGGCACAGCAGAGACUAGUGUCUUUAAGAAAUGUAGUUUAUUGUACACAUAUUGACACCUGGGUCUAACUUUGGAGAGGGUUCCAUCUCAAGAGAGGCUUGCCCCAACAGCAGUGCAGCAGUGGGGUCCACGGCAUCCUGCUUGCCAUCAUCUCCAUGGCUCUGUCUCAGCCUCCAAUAUGGUUCUGCCCCACAUGGCCUCUGCCUGGAGUUCUGGCUCCAUCCCAAAGACCCUUGCCAGAAAAAAACAAACCAAGCCUUGUGAAAUGAAACAUUUUUCCUGUGAGCACAGCCUGCCUCUCCCCUGUUUUCCUAGCCAUGGAAACUGAAAUCCUAAACCUUUCUCCACCCAUGAUAACCAUGGGAACUCCCGCCUCUGCCCUGGGUUAAUGACUUGCUUCUGGCACCUUUAGUCAUUCUUAAUGACCUCUAUCCCAUAUCCUCCAACAUCCCCCAAGCAAUGGAAACCCCACUGAACUAAAUGAGGGCUCUUUACUUCCAUGCCCUCCAAGUGUCCCGAUUUUCCAGGGACGGUCCUGGAAUUACAAAAGCCAUCCAUGCUUCUGAUUUGAUCCUGGAAUAUUCCUAUUUCCUCCACCAGUGGAGUCAGCCCUUGUCCUGAGCUGCGGCAGCAGCAACAGUGGCAGAUGCAAGGGAGCACCCUGUUGCCUCUCUGUAGCCUUUCCAAGCUUAGCCUGUAUUUUUCACUGGCCUGGCACCUUCCCUCCAACAUUCCAAAUAUUAUCUAAAUUCUGCCAUUUAUUAAUUUCAAACAUUCACCAACUCUAGUAUUUAUGGGUGCCCUUGUGCCCCAAAUCUUUGCUACCCUAGAUUUGUAACAUUAUGCUUCUCCUCCAAGUGAACCCCAAAGUAACUGAAGGCACAGAAGGCUCAGAAGAGGUUGCUCAGAGUGUUGCUGCAUGACUGAUCCACUGCACUGAGUUUUGUCUGCUUCUAGCUAGCCUCUGGUGACAGUAAAUCACUCUAUCCCAUUUCUGCAUUGGGGGCAGUUGAAGCAUUUGAUCACUCUUGCUUUGGAGCACAGCAAAAUCUCCUGAUUCCAGGCAAGCAAUGAGCACCUGCAAUGGGCAUCACUCUUUUUAACCAGGUGACAUACCCAGGACGGUUCAUGCAGAAGGGUGAGGGGGGCUGCUCUAUGGGCGGGGAGCUCUCUCCACUUUCCUCCCUCUUUCCUAGCAAGCCUUUAGCACAGAAAUCCACAUAAUUUUAUACUGGCUGCAGUUUGGUUUGGGUUUUUUUAGAUCUAAACUUUAUCUCUAAAAACCUCUUUUUAAAAAAUGAAAGAGCAAGCUUCACUAGAGCUGCUGAAAUUUCAGAAGACAGAGGAGGGUUGGCUGAAAUAGAUCUCCAUUGAUAGAAGUGGGGCUUCAAUAUCCCACCUAGCCCCCAUAACUAUCCAAAACAAGAGAAAUAGUGAUAGCAUUCAUGAUUUACACAGGUUGCAGAACUCAGUGUCUGUUAGUGGAGAAUUUCCUCUUUAGUGUGUGCAUAUGCUGUAUGACACACCACAUAGCACAUAGAGCAUUUAAAUGCACAUGACCAUCAAGCAGGGAAGUCCUGCCUUGCAUAUUCUACCACACCAUUACAAACAGGAAAGGAAUCAGCACAGAGUAAAACACUUCCCUUCUUGCUUCCUGAAACCAUGACCUACUGCAGAAAAGAAACGUCUGUAUGUCACUCCCAGAGCUGCCUGGAGCACGGCUCUGCUGAAUCACUACCUGCUGAAAAGAAAAAGUGUCCCUGUUUUAUCUUCCUCCUUUGGUGGUUUCUAUAGCAACAUCCCUGCAAUGCCUCCUUCCAGAGUGCUUGUCUCAUUGAUCACAUUAGAAGCCAAAAACUUUCGAGCCAAUAUUUGCCAUCAAGGAAGUGUGGGAUGGAGAGAGAAAGAAAGAGAGGGAGGAAGAGUUUUUGCACAUAUUAUAUAUAUCCGGUGUGACAUUUACCUUGGGUGGCUAAGUCCUAAAAAGAAAGACACGAGGCAUCUAAAGCUGCAAAGCAAGACACGGGAAGCAUCCAUGGUAGGAUUAGCAACUGGUGGCCUCUGAGUCUCCCUGAUAGGGGGAUUAUCUGGCCUCCCACAAAAUUCUGACAGUCUGGAGGCAACCACAGUCACGUCCUGUCAUUUCCCAACCCCAACACCUGAACAUCAUUGUUGGUACAGACUCUCUUCUUCCAUGUAGGAACAGAACUAUAGGUAAUUGCUUUCAUUUGGUCAGUCUUGAUCCACAACUGCAUCACCCAUCCUUUUCUAAGGUGGGUUGUGCUGUAUCACUAACACAAUUUUUUUGGUAGCUGUUGUUUAUGGUGGUAUUUUUAAGAGAAGGACCAAAGAACAGCAACAACAAUGUGGCAGCAAAGAGAGGAGCAAAACAAAUACAGACGGUCAGCUACAUAAAUAAUUAAAAAGGGAUCCUAUUGUGGUCCAGGGGUAAAGGUGGGCCCUGGGUCUGAAAAGGUUGGGAACUACUUGCCUUUGAAAGGAAAGAGAUGAUAUUCUCCAGAAAGAAUCUAAGGAAUAUCGGUAUUGUUAUGAGAUGGGGAGGGCAGGUUAUAUGCCGAGACCCUUCUAAUCCCUGGAUCCAGCAUGUGUUAAAAUCUAAGCAAGGGUUCAAAUUCCUGAAAUAGCUAGGCUGGCUUCCUGGUGAGGUAAUGGUGAGGUAACAAAAGGAAUGUUAAGGUAACAAAGGAAGUAGAUCUGUGCCAGAAAACAAAUGGGUGGGCUUCUCUCCCUCAACUCACUGGUAGUUAGAAAGACAAAAUUCAGGGUGGAGAGUGGAGUUAUGUGAGGUGGAAGCUGGAAGCAAGGCUGCAGGCUGGGAAGGCAGAAAGUCAGAGCCAUGCCUGAUUUCUGCUGAAAUCCAAUGCUGUGGCUGUGGGAGAAGCAAGACCCUCUUGCGGUGCGAAUGCUGUGAACCCCUCCAGUAUAGGCUCAGGUUGUAUAUAUGUGUAAUUAACUAUGUGUCAUAAGGAAACCACAGCCUCUGCUGUACCUCAUUCCAAAGGAAACACAAACCCCUGGUAAGCUCCUGGAACUCCGGAAAUCCUACAUUGCUCAGAGAUUGGGGUGACAUGGAACAGAAUGUUUAGUCUCUAGUGAAUGAAAGGGCAAAUGUAUGCAUAUUCUCUAGAAUCCAGUGGAUGUGUGGAGAACGACUGUAGCUCCGUGGUAGCACACAUGCUUUGCAAGCCAAGUAUUGGCUCAUGAUGCAUAGCCAUACGGUCAAGUGGGUCCCUGCACAUAUAACAUGCUUUUUGUACAUUGGUAAAUUAUGGACUGUGAUGCCUUGUGUGGUGUGUUGAGUUGGCAUUCCCUCUUGCACAUGCUGGGAGCUGAUUCAUUUAGCUCCAUUGCCUGGCAGUGGCUCUCCAGGAUUUUAGACAGUCCAGGUCUACUUGGAGAAACUGGCCAUUGCACCCAGGGUCAUCUACAUGCAAAGAAUGUACUCUACCACAAAGUAGCAACUCUUUCCUGAGUGAGGUGUAUUCAGCACCACAAUGCCAAAAGUUUUCCAUAAAACAUCAAUUGAAACUCUUAUAUGAAACACAGAAGUGUUUCAAAUUAUUGCUGCAUGACUACCAGAAAGUCAAGUUUAGAUUUACAAAGCACAAAUCUGUUUUCUCAAGAAUGAUAAAGUACAUGCCUGUCAACUGGAAGUUGAUAUGGAUGAAAUUGCCCAUACAUAAUUCCCACUAGAACAAAAAUUGAGUUUACAAAGCACCACCAGAAUGCUGGUGCAAAAAUAAUUCAAUAGAUGUUUGUUGGAUGCAUUUCAAUGUGCUGGUUGUUCUCAAUGGUACUAAAUUAUAUAGGUUUAAGUUAAAAUGGAUCCAGGUGGACCAGCAAGCACCAGUCUUCUGUGCUUUUGAGGACAGGGGGUAUAUUCAGCGGAUAUGCCUGUAUGAGCCUACCCUUAUGAGCUGGAUAUUUCCUGGAUGAUUUUGCCCCUUUCUUUUUGUGGUUUAAACAGAGGCAGCUCCAGUGUCUCUUGCAUCCACUUGAGCCCCAAACUCUUUGCUCUACCUUCUCUUAUUUGGGCCACACCUUUUCCUUUCCCAUUCAACCAUAUUCAUUCACUUACCAUAUUCUUCACACCCCUUUCACCUUCAUCCAAUGGGUGAAAAAAUAAUCCCAUUAAUGGUUUCUGUGGUGUAUUUUGUUGGAUUUCUAGUAUGUGGUAGAAAUUCAAACACAAAUCAUUACAAACAACAAAAAAUAUCUUUUAAAGGGGAAAUCAUUUAUUUAUUUCAUAAAAGUUAUACACUGAUUGAUUGUAAAAACCUCAAAGUGGUUUACAAGAGAUAAAAUAGUAAAAUCAAGUAAAAUUCACAAGCCUACUUUCAUGAUGAUUAUAUUAUUAUUAUUAAUAAUAAUAAUAAUAAUAAUAAUAAUAAUAAUAAUAAUAAUUUGUUUAUAGCCCACCCAUCUGGCUGGGUUUCCCCAGCCACUCUGGGCGGCUCUCAACAGAAUAUUAAAAACAUGAUAAAACGUCAAAAAUUAAAAAUUUCCCUAAACAGGGCUGCCUUCAGAUGUCUUUUAAAGGUGAGAUAGCUGCUUAUUUCUCUCACAUCUGAAGGGAGGGCGUUCCACGGGGUGGGCGCCACUACCGAGAAGGCCCUCUGUCUGGUUCCCUGUAACCUCACUUCUCGCAAUCAGGGAACUGCCAGAAGGCCCUUGGCGCUGGAUUUCAGUGUCCGGGCUGAAUGAUGGGUGGAGACGCUCCUUCAGGUAUACAGGACUGAGGCCAUUUAGGGCUUUAAAGGUCAGCACCAACACUUUGAAUUGUGCUCGGAAACGUAUUGGGAGCCAAUGCAGAUCUCUCAGGACCGGUGUUAUGUAGUCCAGGCAGCCACUCCCAGUCACCAGUCUAGCUGCUGCAUUCUGGAUUAAUUGCAGUUUCCGGGUCACCUUCAAAGGUAGCCCCACGUAGAGCGCAUUGCAGUAGUCCAAGAGGGAGAUAACUAGAGCAUGCACCACUCUGGUGAGACAGUCUGCGGGCAGGUAGGGUCUCAGCCUGCGUACCAGGUGGAGCUGGUAGACAGCUGCCCAGGGCACAGAAUUAACCUGUGCCUCCAUGGACAGCUGUGAUUCCAAAAUGACUCCCAGGCUGCGCACCUUCAGGGGCACAGUUACCCCAUUCAGGACCAGGGAGUCCCACACACCCGCCCGCCCCCUGUCCCCCAGAAACAGUACUUCUGUCUUGUCAGGAUUCAACCUCAAUCUGUUAGCCGCCAUCCAUCCUCCAGCCACCUCCAGGCACUCACACAGGACCUUCACCGCCUUCACUGGUUCUGAUUUGAAAGAGAGGUAGAGCUGGGUAUCAUCUGCAUACUGAUGAACACCCAGCCCAAACCCCCUGGUGAUCUCUCCCAGCGGCUUCAUAUAGAUAUUAAAAAGCAUGGGGGAGAGGACGGAACCCUGAGGCACCCCACAAGUGAGGACCCAGGGGUCUGAACACUCAUCCCCCACCACCACUUUCUGAACACGGCCCAGGAGGAAGGAGCGAAACCACUGUAUAACAGUGCUCCCAGCCCCUCUAGACGGUCCAGAAGGAUGUUAUGGUCAAUGGUGUCAAAAGCCGCUGAGAGAUCCAGCAGAACUAGGAAACAGCUCUCACCUUUGUCCCUAGCCCGCCGGAGAUCAUCGACCAGUGUGACCAAGGCAGUUUCAGUCCCAUGAUGAGGCCUGAUUCCCGAUUGGAAGGGAUCCAAAUGGUCCGCAUCCUCCAGGCAUGCUUGGAGUUGCUCAGCAACCACGCGCUCAAUCACCUUGCCCAAGAAUGGAAGAUUUGAGACUGGGUGAUAGUUAGCCAUAUUGGCUGGGUCUAAAGAUGUUUUUUAAGAAGCGGUUUAAUGACCACCUCUUUCAGCGGAUCUGAGAAGGCUCCCUCACAUAGGAAAGCAUUCACCACCCCACAGAACCCAUCACCCAGCCCUUCCCGGCUUGCUUUUAUGGACAAGGAUGGACAAGGCUCAAGAAGACAGGUGGUUGGUUUCACUCGUCCAAGCAGCCUGUCCACAUCCUCAGAUGUAACAGACUGAAAUUGAUCCCAUAUAAUAUGACUAGACAGGACUCUAGCACACUCCUGCCCCGGCCCUGCUCCCAUGGUGGAGUCUACCUCUUUCUGAAUCUGAGCGACUUUAUCUGCAAAAAACUUUGCAAAAGCAUUGCAAGAGAUCUUGGGGUCCAGGUGGUGCAGGUGGUUCCAAUAGAUUGUGAACCACCUCAAAGAGUCUCCUGCUGCUGUUUUCUGAAGAUGCAAUAGAGGUGGCAAAGAAGGUCCUCUUCGCCAUUGCCAUCACCACUUGGUAGGCUCGACGUUGAGCACUAACCCGUGAGUGAGUUUCCCGCCGGCAUUCUAGCCGUCUCAGCAAUUGUUUCCUCGCCCUCAGCUCCGAAGAAAACCAUGGGGCUGUCCGGGCUCCAUGCAAUCGGAGAGGGCGCUUCGGAGCCAGACAGUCAAAAACCCUGGUUAACUUUGCAUUCCAGCGGGCCACCAGGGAAUCAGCUGAUUCACUGAAAGGCCAUCAACAUGGGAUAAAAAAUCCCCUACCACUCUCUGGAAACCAUUUGGAUCCAUUAAGCAGCGGGGGCAGACCAUCCAAAUCGGUCCCACCUCCCUGCAGAGGGGAAGGGUCGCGGAGAAGUCCAGUUGCACCAGGAAGUGAUCUGACCAUGGCACUUCUUUUGUUUCACUUUUACUUAAUGUCAGAUCACCAACAUCCAUAGAGGUGAACACCAAGUCUAAGGCAUGUCCGCGGCUAUGAGUUGGGCCAAACUUAUUCAGGGACAGUCCCAUGGAGGCCAUGCUUUCCACGAAGUCCCGAGUGGCCCCUUGUAAGGUCGUGUCGGCAUGGAUGUUAAAAUCCCCUAGGACAAUCAAUCUGCCAUGACCUGAAGCACCUCGGGCAGGGAAUCCUUGGUGCAGCGAGGAGGUCAGUACACCAAAAGGAAUCCUGUACUGCCCCUAUUGCCCAACUUCCAGAACAUGCACUCAGAAAACUGGUUCUUCCCAAUAGGAUGCCUGGUGCAAACUAGUGACUUCCUAAAAAUCACUGCAACCCCCCCUCUCCCCGCCCACAUGACCUGGGUUGCUGUGCGUAAGAGAAACCUGGUGGACAAGCAGCAGCAAGGACAGGCCCAUCUGCUUCAUCAAACCAGGUCUCUGUCACACAUGCCAGGUCAAAUUCUUCAUCCAUAAUCAGGUCUUGGAUGGCAGUGGUCUUAUUCAUCAUUGACCUGGCAUUGCACAGCAACACUUUCAGGUCAUGUGGGUUUCCCUUGCUGAUUCCAGUAUCCUUCUGGUCAGGACCAGACCUGGAGGCAGGGAUAGUCCUUAGACAACAACUAAACCUGCCUCCUCGGUAAUGACAUGGUCUGGUCUUAGCAUAGCUCCUCUUCCUGCCCGUGAUCACUGAGAUCGGGUGUCCUGGUGCUUCUGCCUCUGUGGAACCUGCCCCAGCCAUUCUGUUGGCUGAAGCCCACUCCCAGGCAGCCCUGACCCUUUCCCUUUAAAAAGCAAAAUACAAACUAUACAGUAGCCUAACAAAAUAGUAAAAGUAAAAACAAAGCCAAAAACAAUUAUACUAAAAUAAAACUAAUCCCCACCCCAAGUCAACAUUUAUCCCACACCAAACAAAAAUAAAAUAAAAUAAAAUAAAAAUAUAGAAAUAAAAACCACUGUUCACAGUGCAACAAAGUAAAAACACUUUAAAAACAUUUUAAAAUAUGUAAAACCAUUUUCGACAUUUGCUGCAGCCGUAGCAUCAACAGCAACGUCCUGAGGCCUCGCUGGAGCCUCUUAGAGCUGUGGUGGUGAGUGUGAAUUGGCCUUCCCCAACACUCACAUUGGCAGCAGCAGCAGUGUCCCAAGGCCUUGCUUAAACUUACAGUGGUUUGCUUCUUCCAUGACCAGUCAAACAAACAGUUGUUGUACAUACAGCACACACCAGAAGUGCUUUUACCAUCUAUGGGGUCACUUCCCAAACUUGCAUCAGCAUAUAUUUCAAGCCCUCCAGACAACCGUUUUAUCAUACUCAUCAGCAAAACACCGCCUCCAUGCACAAAUACCUCAAAUGGAUCAAACAACGCAGUAUUAUUGAAGGAGAGAAGCAGCAGCCACUGGGACCAGCUUAAUAUUCAUCUCCACAACUGCCUUUGACGCCACAGUUACUGAGCGGGGAGCUUGAGUUGGGCUCUAAUUGCUAAACAAGUAUCUGGAGGCAUCUGGUUUCCCUGGGAACAGCCACAGCUUUUUGAUUGCACUGAUUCAUAACAUUUUAUUUACCCCUUUAGGAGGAGCCAGGCCUGAGCCCAACAGAAAAGGAGAUGGAAUUGGGGAAAGGGCUGCUACAGAAGGGUCAAUUUCUGCCUAGCUUUUAGAAUGGCUCUCUCACAAAACCAUAUCCACCUGCAAGCUUCUAGGAAGCAGAUACCAAAUGAAUGUAUUGGCUGAGAUACAGAGGGACUGUCAUUCAAGCCAUUUGGAGGGUUGAGGGGGGAGAACAAAAGAAAGCAAUCCAUUAAGGUUGUGCAGAAAAGCUGGAGGACAAGGAGUCACUUCAGCAAAUGGCAAAUGUCAGUGCUUUGUGGAACAGACCCUGGAAAACAAGGAACCUGGAAUUGCCUGUCUUAGCAUCCAACUCUGUAGAAGGAAAGUGAAAUAUACCAAGUCGCGUAGUGAUUUCAUGCUCUUUAUUGCAGCUCAAAAAACAGUGAAUGGAUUUCCCCCCAAACCUCAGGCUUUAUAUACAUUAUUUACACAAUGAGUCCCGUCUGAUUGGUUGAUUCUGUUUCCCUCCUGGAGCCUGAUUGGGCUGCUACUGCAGGCCAAUCAGUUGUUGCACUCUAGGAUCCUACUGGCCUGUGCUGGUCCAGGGGGGAGGUUACCGUGGGGCGAGGUCCAGGACCCGAGUCAAGGGUCAGCAGACAGUCCUCCACGGGUGAAGCGGGGUCCACAGCGAGGAGCCGGGCAAGGACAGGAACUCUGGGCGAACCGGACUGGGUGCUGGCCGAAACAGCUCUUCAACAAUGUUGCUCCCGCAACCUGGGACCAGGCUGACUGGCCUUUAUCUUCUCUGAGGCCAGGGGCGGUCCCGGCCCCCAGGAGACCCACCUCUCCUGGCCUUAAGGUGAGCACUCCUCCUGGGAGAAACCAGUUCCCUCCGCCUCUCUGCCCUGAGCCUCUGCAGCUCAGGAGAGGCUGGAGGGUUACUGGACCCAGGGGGAGACUCACCUGUAGGCACUGAGUCCUCAUCCACCUCCGGAGCCAGAGUGGAUUCACCUGGUGCCUGCUCCUGAGGAUCUGGCACAGGUGCAGGUGCUUCAGAAUCAAGGCCCUGCCCCAGUUCAGCCGGCCCUGGAGGCGGGGACUCCUGUGCAGGCUGGGAUUCCUCCAGUUCAGCCUCUGAAUCGGAUUCCCAGGCCAUUACAGGCCUAAUAGGCUGCUUAACUUCCUCCUGGGGUCUGAUUGGGCUGCUCCUACAGGCCAAUCAGGUUGUUGCAUUCUAGGAUCCUACCUGCAUUCUAGGAUCCAAGCUUAGUACAUAACAGAAAGGUUGGAGUGAAUUCUGGAUAUCCCCCCUACCCCAACACACAUACACAAAUAAAUCAAUGGACCCAUGUUUUGGCACUGAUCGUUUCCCAUUCCUGGCAAACACUCACCAUCUCUGCUGGAAACACUAACAAUUAUCAGGUGUGUAUGAAGAGAGCACCGUAAAUUGGUGCCAAAUUUGGGGAAUUGUUAAAUGUCUGCACUGCAGAUAUUUAGGAUUAGUGCAGACAUGGUGCGAUGUAAGUCCAGUUCAUGCAUUACUCACAUGUAGAAUUUGCUCAUGUCUAAUUGGAGUGGAGCUGUACUUUUAGCUCUGCCCCAGCAUCAUGCCUCCUUUCUCAAAUGACCACAUUACCCUUGGUUGUUUGAAAAGUAGCUCCAAUCCACAAGCUCCUGUUAUCAUGUAGGGCCUCCUCAUGAUCAGGCCACAUGGAUGUGUGGGUGUCCUGUUCUCUCAGAGGUUUGUCUUUGCUUUUGGAAGGAGACUCCAUAUCAGGAGUGGGACUAAAAAUGUGGCCCCACUCACAACAAACAUGAUCAUGUCCUCUCUGAAAUCCUGGAGAGCUGCUUUGGUCUGUGUGGCCAAUACAGAGCCAGAGAGACCAGUGGUCUAAGUCUAGGGCAACUUCCUUUGUAGCUAGAGCCCAUAACACUGAAUAGAGCACUUGCAUUCUGAAAAUACUGUGGGACAUGUAAUAGGUCUCCACACCCAGAGACACAUGGCGCCUCCCAUACAAUACCUAUCAGCAAGAUCUAGGCUAGUAAUUUUCUACUUUUCAGAACUGAGACCCACACAUGCAUCUAGGAACCUCUUUCUUUCUUUCUUUCUUUCUUUCUUUCUUUCUUUCUUUCUUUCUUUCUUUCUUUCUUUCUUUCCCUCUCAUAUAGCUCUAUGGUGGCAGUGUUGCUGUUGCAACCCACCUUGGUUCAGGCUGUGACCCAGUAGUUGGUCUCCUGACUCACCACCUGAAGACCAGGAAUGGCUUUCCUACACAGAAAAAAAAUAGCCACACUUGCAGUGCACUGCUUCUCCUGCCCUUGCCGUGAAUAGUAAGACUUUCCCUGUAUGGAAGAAACUAAAGGGGUGCACUCAAGGACACCACUUAGGUAGAAAUUAAACUUCUCUCAUGUGACCUCAAGCUAUUGGGAAUCAGGCCUGCUCCCGUAUUGCAAAAACAAGCUUCAUCUGGAGGCCAGCUGGAUACCUCAUAAGCAAGCCAUAAAGGUGAUGACCAAUCCUUUUAUUACUUUCAUUAAUGUGUCUCCAGCAGCUUCCUUGGAUGGAGGUUGCAUUUGAUCAUGCAAGGCGUGAUUCCCAAUAUCUUUGGGUAGGAAUUCCAAAGGCCAAAGGAGCAGUUCAGGACACACACCUGGACUUUCUGCCACCUCUAACUGAUUGGCUAGCUCCGUGCAUUCUGCGGUUGUGACGCGCUUCUUUGCCGAGUGAGCCAAGGAAAGGCAGAAGGCGAUGCAAGCUGGAACAAGCUUUUCAGCACCUUAGACAGAGCACCCAAUGAAGAGCGCCGAGCUCUGUCCAAGGUACUGAAAUGCUUCAGCCUACGAGCAUGACAUCUCCCUGUGCGUCUUGACCAACCUACCUUCCCCGCCUAUCUCCCGGAGGGUCCUUCUGCAGACAUCGUUUUCUGCUUGCUGUCGCAGGCAUUAAAAAGGGUGGGGUAGGGGGUGAGUACUCAUUCAUUUGCAGUGUGCAAUGAAGGAAGGGAGUGAGGGCGUCAAAAACAGCAGAGGCGUCACAAUGCAGAUGUCUGUUCCCUGGACAGCAGCCUGCGUAGGAAGUGCCAGAGCAAAAACAGAGCGAGCUACAGACAGAGCCACCACAGCAGAGGCGAAGAAUCUCCCCUUUCAAAUAAAUAACCGGCUGAUGGUCUCCCUCCUCCUCCCCUGCUUGCUCCAGCCUACGCAAGUUCCUUGCCAGAAAAUUAAACUCCCUCCUUGGGGAGGCCACCUGCGGGGGAGGAAAACUGAGAGAUGACUGCGAAAGAGCAAUUUUCACCCACAGGUGACUGGAAACAUAAGCCUGGCAUAGCCAGCCAGCCAACCUCCCCUCCCAGCCCCCAACCACCACUAGCAGGGCUGCCAGCUGAUCAGAAAACAAGCACUCUGGCUCAUUUCCUGCCUUUAACAGCAGACUGUUACAUACAGGAAUCAGGAGGGGAAGCUUUUCAGGGCAUGGAGAUAAGAAAGGUGGCCUGUUGGGGUCUGUACCUCAAAUAAAAUCAGAGCCAGAGGUUGGUGCAAAGAGGUUGGUAACCCUCACUGUCCAUCCCCAAACUUUAAACCUUUCCUCUCAAGUCUCCAGCCUUCUAAAACCAGGGGUAGCACAGGUGUGCCUUCAACAGAUGAUGCCCAUAUCAGUGCAUCACUAUGGCUAUAAAGCUUUACCUGUUGAUUUUCUACCUGUCACACAAUUGUUAAGCAUAGAAGCUCUGCAAGGAAAGGUUGCAUGCUACCUUAGCCUUACCUCCUGAUCAUCCUUCUUUCCCAUCCUGCAUCUUGCCUAUAAGCCCUUAAGGCCACCUCCAGAAAUGCUAAAUCUAAACCAUCUCCUCCCUCCCCCAUUACCUGCACCAUGCAGUAACCACAAACUCCUAUUGAGGAGUGGCAAUACUGGAGGGCAGCAGAAGCAGUCACAAACACACAGGAUUUCAACUAUUCCUUGCAUAAUCUGAGUAUUCAUAUGAUUUUUUGCUAUUUUAAUCUUGAAUAUAUCAAAACAUGAACCUCUGAGCCUUGAGGUGGACCCCCCUGCAGUGGAAUCCCACCCUAACUCUAAAUGCAGUACCAGACAUCAGGUAUGGAAUGGGUCAACUCACAGUAGGUUCACCUGGCAAUAUAGGACCAGGACUGUUACAAGGUGCCCUCAACCAUCAUGUCACCGGCCAAUAUGAUCUUAGUAUGGACUUCUUUUUCAAUCCCCUUAAUAGAGUAUUCCCAGAGGGAAUAGGAAAGGUAAGAUGGAAAGUAGGAUGCUGAAGAAUAUUUGGAGGAUGGGUGUUGUCAGGGCUGCCUCAAGUCUCAGCUCACAAAAGACCAACGCCUAUCUCUUCUUAUAUACAAAAGUGUUUAUUGCAGUUCAUUGAUUGCUUCACAUCCGAGGCGCGCAGCCCUACGUCUGCUACGCUUAGACCGCUGAAGUCUCCUCUGAAUCCGUCCCUCCCCUGCACCAGUUUAAGAGGCUUGCGCUGCUCCACCUCUUUCUUUCUUUCCUUUUCCGCAGGGUCUUUCUGCCCACUGGGCUUUCGCCCCUCCUGGAUUCCUCUGACGCGGAAUCCCCAGACUGCUCUUGCCCCCUCCUGCGGGCUUUGGGACCUGGCCCCUCCUCCGGGCUCCCUGUACUUCCGCGCGCCUCUACAUUUGAACUUGGCGCGCGCGCCCAACCUCUAACCUUCCUUUUAACAGCUACACUACUCCCUUCACUACUCCCCUCCCCUUCCGGGAGGGUGACUUGCUCCGACCUCCCUCCCUUCUCUGCUGCCGGAGCCGCUUCCCCUGAUACACUGAAACCUCCACCCCCUUCGCUGCACUCUGGCGGGGAGGCUGGUCCUGACACCCAGCUGCCACUUUGGGAUGUCCCGCUGGCCCCCUGCUCCUGACACGUCCCCCUUGGGGCUCCCCUGGGCUUGACCACCGGCGCCCCUUCUGGGAAUCCUCUGAUUCGCUGGAAAGACUCAUGGAAUCUCUUGAGUCAUUGUCAUCCUCUUCCUCGCUGUCCUGGGAUUCAUCCCCAUCGCUCUCCAUCUCCUGCCUACCCUGUGCCUCUGUCCCUGAACCCCUGACAGGUGUGAAUGCCUGUGUCCAUUCUGGGUGCCACAAUUUAAGAAGGAUAUUGACAAGUUAGAACAUGUGUAGAGAAGGGCGACCAAGAUGAUCAAGGGUCUGGAAAUCAAGUCUUAUGGUGAACAGUUGAGGGAGUUGGGCAUGUUUAGUCUGGAAAAGAGGAGUCUGAGAGGAGAUAUGAUGGCUGUCUUCAAGUAUCUAAAGGGCUGUCCCAUGAAAGAUGAAGCAGGCUUAUUUUCUCCUGCUCUGGAGGGUAGGACCUGUGGGAUGUAUUAUUACUAGAGCAGUCAAGUACAACAUUUUCCUGUUGCCUAGAAUUGACACACAGGGCAAUGUGGCUCCAGACAGGGAGGACUUCCUGUCAUACGUGCUCUGAAGCUUCCUCCCUCUGUGUGUGACCAGGUAAAUGGGUGUAACCCUAGCUGACCAGAUAACCAUCUUUCUCUUGGAUUCUUACUCUUACUCUUACUCUUGGACUCUCGCUCUCCUGGCUCUUAGGAUGGAGCCUGCAAGCAGAAAGUCUGAGAUGUAGCUCACACUGUAACCAUAAGAUUACUGUAACCAUAAGAUAAAGCCUGCCUUCAGAUUACUGCUGUGAACUGAAUGUGAGUAAAACGUUAUUCUUACUUUUAAAGAAAACUGUUGUGUUAUUAUUAUUUUAAGAGGGCAAUAAAGGGGAAACUUAACAGGAAUAAUCCAGACUGGAGAAGCAAAACUGGACUGCUUAAUCAAAGGAUUCUAAUGAAUCAUCAACUUGCUUCCAAUAAGUUGCAAAGGGAAUGUUUACUCUCUAGUGUGAGUGAGGAGGGAUAAUAUCAAAACAAUAUAUCUUCUCCUACCUUCCUUAAUACUACCUUGCUUAAAAAACAGGACCUGAACCAUUGGCUUCAAGCUACAAGAAAAGAGAUUCUGACUAAAUAUCAAGAAGAACUUUCUGAUCGGGAGAGCCUUUUGAUGGUGGAAUAUGGACUCCCUUGGAACAAGGUGGAUUCUCCUUCCCUUCCUUGGAGGUUUUUAAUCAGAGGGCCAUCUAUCAUGGGUGCUUUAGUGGAGAUCCCUGCAUUGCUGGGGGUUGGACUAGAUGACCCUCAGGCACCCCUCCACUCUACAGUUAUAUGAUUCUAUGUCUCCUUUAUAUUUUCCGGAUAUGUUCACAAUAUUUGGAAAUUAAUUAGCAUCCUGCUGCCUUGCACUUGCACCACCAUACUUUGUUGUGAGACUGGGCCCAACAGGCUACCAUUAAUAUGAUACAUUGACAGAGCAUCAAUAUGAUUCAGCAACCACUCCACAUAUUUCAAUAGUAAACGGAACAUGAUUUACAACCCAUUCUUCAGCUCAAUUUAAACUCCCUUCCUGGUACUUAAGGGAGGUGGAGCUCAGAAAGGCUCAUUAAGGAGGAAAUGAUUAAUGAGGGCCCAUGACACCACAGUGAUGCCUGGGUCACAUGCAUUUCAUGCUUGCAUCACUCCCCCCUUCUCACUGCUCUGGCAGUAGCCACACACAAACAUCUCCUUCUCCAAAUCCCCUGAUUUCCAAACCACUGGCUAUCAGUACAAUACUUGGGCUGCAAUCCUGUUUCCUUACUUGGCAUGGGUUCCACUGAAUGCAGUGAGAGUUGCUUCAGAGUAAACAUUCCUAGGAAAUGUGCCCUUUUGGCCCAUUGACUGUUACUCUUUCCCCACACCAUUCCCUUUUUAUAUCCCAUUUUAAAGGUCCAAUUUUCCUACUCUGGAACAGGAGCCCAGAACUCAAGUCCUGACUCUGCCACCAACCUGCCAAGUUGUGUUUAGAAUAGUGAUGGCGAGCCUCUGGCCUCCAGGUGUUGUUAGACUCUGAACUCCCACUGGGGCUGAAGGGAGCUGGAGUCCUGCAAUAGCUGAAGGUUCCCCAUCUCUAAAGAACACAUCCCUGCAUCUUUUUCAUAAAGUUAAAUGUAAGACAAGCUGUAAAGCACUUUGCACUGCCAUUGGAAUGGCCCCAGAAGCACAUACUUUGCUGGUUGCUCGCUAUAUAUUGAUUAUAGAUCAUUCAUAUAUAUAAUGGAUAAUAUAGUUCUAAAAGGAAUGAUUAUCUUACAUUAAUAGGCCAAUUAACAAUCAUACAUUUAAGUAUAGAUUUGUCAUUAAUAGCUAUUAUUUAAACUUAAAGAUACCACUUCUGUGCUUUCUUUAGAUGCUACUUUCUUUUUGUUAUUAUUGGUGUUACAAUAUGUAAAGGGGAGGAAAUUAAGAUCAAGAGGGAGAGAAGAAGAGUGUCACCCUUUGGCUUCAAUUGUGGGGUUUCUCUGGUUAAUUUGCUGUGCCCUCUUCCUACCUCUGGCUCUGCAGGCUGUUUCCAGGCCUCCUCCCACCCUCUUAUGCCCCAGCAGCUCCAUAAAAGGCUCUCUCAUCCUCCCCCCACCUCCAAAUGCAAUCAAUUUCUGUCACCCAUGCACAGGUCUGGAAAAUUAAUAAGGAAUGGAAAAUGAAGAGUCAUCCUGUUUCAAAACGCCAGGAGAUAAUGUGUGCAGGGAAGGAUGUCUGUGUAAAAAAAGAUGAUGAAAAAAUGCCAGUGCACAGCUCUGAGGAAAUGGUGGUGGUAUGUGCUGUUGUUGCAGCCGCAACAGCAGUGGGAUUGCACUCCAGACAUAUCUAGCAUAAAGAAUGCAAAGGUUCAUUUAGCUCAGCAUCCUGCUCCUCACAGAAGCCAGCCUCUUACUCCUGAGAAGUUUGUAAGCAGAAACAGCCUUGCCAUUUGCUUGCCAUUUGCUCCCAGCUGGUAUUCAGAGGUAUCCUGCCUCUGGGGUGGAGUUGGGCUACGAUUCCUACCAUCUCUGACUAUUGGGCCAUGCUGGGUGGGGCUGGUGGGAGCUGGAAUGGGAACAUCUAAAGGGCCAAAGGUUUCCCACCCCUCACUUAAAGCUUCCAUUUAGCAAUCAUAGCUAAUGGCCAUUGGCUGAACUUGUCUGACAAAACCUUCCAUUUCAGCAAGCCAGUCCAGACGCAUGAUGGAGUUAUCUAAUAUCUAUAUUUGUUUUACAAGUGCUAUUGAUUUUAUCAUUGUUUCUAAAGAGUGAUGUAGUUUAGGAACUGGCUCCCUCAGUCAUGUGUAUUUAGCUCAUAAGCCUUAACCAAACUUUACCACCUUUUAUUUCACUAAAAUUCUGGAUACAAGCAUUUGUGCUACUCUUCAUCAGGGUGAUAUUGUGAAUCUGCAGAUAGGACAAUAGCUAGGGAAGCAUCCUAUUGACCUGCCUCUGAAUAUCAGAAUGUUUUGUGCGUCCCAUUUCUCCCUUUCACCCCCACUUCCAAACACAGAUGCAAGUUCUGCCUAAUUCAUCCACUUCUAUCUAGACUCUUUUAACAUUAACAAAAUGAAAGGUUUCAAUGUUGCUGGAUUCAGGUUUAUAAGUCACAUUACACAAAACCGUUGAUGGAGGACAUCCACUCUGCACAGCAGGCUGUGCCUUUAGGUAAACUUAAUUGGCCUGCAAGCCAGGGGGAGCUGCAUCAUAAGCAAGGCAGCUGGUGUUUUUUAGGUGCCUUUCACAGCAUCACAAUAGGAUGUUGGGGCACAAUACACUGGGAACCUAUUUCUUUGGCUGCGUAUUCACUAAUACUUUAAAGCACAUUGGAAGUACAUAUCUGGGCACUGUAGUUUCUUGGGGGCUGCUGGCAAUUGCAACUCUGUGAAGUGUAAACUGCAGCACCCAGAACCCUUCAAGGGAAAGAAUAUGUUUCAAAAGAGUAUUCAAAGAUAUAGUGUGCACACAGCCUUGGUGGAUUGUACACCAUGUUAGGGUGGAACUACCCAUGACACUUGACACACAGCUGCCACUCAGACUGGCAUCCCAGAGUCAAGCUUGUCUUUUCUGCCAUAUUUUGUAGCACCCCUUUUGCUUGAGAUUUCCCCAUCCUUGCUAGUGAAUGACUUAAGUGAGGAAUAUCACAUGGUGACCAUGUUAUAGCAUGGGGUAGGUGACCUUUUCCAUUAUGGGGAACGUUACCUUCUGUAGCACAGGGUGGUGUGUCAUUUUCUGCUGUGGACCCAUGCCAAGUACAAUGUGUCAUUCCACUCUGAAUUAGUGGCCAAUGCUAGGUAGUGUGCUGCCAUUUGUAUUGACAGCCCAUUGGAGCACUGGUCAGGGCUGUUAGACUGCUCGGAACUGAAGCAUAUCCAUCAAAGCUGAAGAAACAGAAAACUCAGGUAGAGUAAUGCCAGGGAAAGUUAUUUUCAGGAAACCAUUUAUAAACAAUUACUAGUAAAAAGAUAAAAUAAAAAAGAAGCAUAUGGCAGCGCCUCUUUAGUCCCUUUUCUCAGAGGCAGACUGGGUUCCUCUAGUGUUCUAGCAGUCGAAAAACUUUGACCCCUCCACCCUGCUGGGUAUUAAGGCAGGUGUUUUCUUCAGCAUGCCUUUGUCCACACGCCAUUCCACUUUAUUUGAUGUUAGCAAUGCUUCUCCAGAGUAAACACAUUGUUGUCAUCCGGAGGGGUACUCUUGUGCUAUAGCUCGACAGAACAGGACACACAGAGAGGGGGGAGUGUUUGUGGUAUCAAAAGUUACAAGAUUUCAGCAGGAAGAUAUGGGACAUGCACUGAUUGGGUAUGUCCACCCUGCACCUUUUGGCGGCACAAACAGUAUUGAAAGCGGGAUCACACACAGCCACACCAAUGCCAUCAUGAACACACUGCCUCUCACCACCCCUGUUUUCGUUUUCUAAGGAAUUAAUUGAAGCUGACCUAGGAAAUACUUGAGAGGAUACAGAGGUGGGGGAGCAUCUUUUGUUUUGAUGCACAGCACUAGCUAAAUUUUAAUCACAGUGAAACAUUUCCCCAGCGCUCUCCAAUCAGUGAUUUCGGUGUUAAGUAAAUACGCAGGGUUGUGCAUACAUGGCCCAUUUUUCACCUCUGAAUUUCAUUUUGAAAGCAGGACAUAAGUAAUGGAGUUUGACCAUAGAGGUGACCUGCAUCAAAAAUCACCUUUGGCAGGAAUUUUACCUCCUAUAUCUCACUCACCAUUUUUCUAGAAGAAGAAGAAGAAGAAUUCUACUCAUUGAUGGAAAAGAUCACUGAAUGGGAGAUGUUGUGUUUGGAAGGAGUUAGAGGAGAAUUGCUACUUUGUUCAAUCCAGGAAACAACAUACUGGGAUUGGAUCAAAAUGGAGAACUAUAAAAAGGCAUGACAUAUACUUGGAGUCCUGCAGUGAUUUCAUGCUCUUUAUUGCAGCUUGUAAAACAGUGAUUGAAUUGCCCCCCAAACCUCAGGCUUUUAUAUACAUUAUUUACACAAUGAGUCCUGUCUGAUUGGCUGAUUCUGCUUCCCUCCUGGAGCCUGAUUGGUCUUUUCCUGCAGGCCAAUCAGUUGUUGCAUUCUAGGAUCCUAGCAGCCUAAUAGGCUGAUUAACUUCCUCCUGGAGCCUGAUUGGUCUUCUCCUGCAGGCCAGUCAGUUGUUGCAUUCUAGGACCUGCCUAUUAUUCUAGGAUCCAGGCUUAGUACAUAACAAGGCAAAACAUUUUUUUUAAUGCUCAUAGAAAAUUUAACUCACUAGUAAAUUCCAGAGGGUGAUUAAGAGAAUUCAUGUAAGGAUUUACCACCAGGUUUUCACUCUCCCAUUAAUUUGCACAAAUGAUCAACAGUCUGGCUACAGCUAAUAUAAAGCAUGGGUGGAGAACCUGUGUCCCCCCCCCCGAUAUUGUUGUACUACAACUCCCAUCAGCCCCAACCAGGCGUGAUAGAAAGGAGUCCAGCUAAAUCCAGAAAGUUCACAGGUUCCCCAUCCUUAAUAUAAAUCAUUGGAAUUGUAUAUACUGUAUAUUGAAAGCAGGUAAAUACAUAAUUCCAUAAACCAUGUUUAAACUCUCCCAAGAAAAAAAACAAAGAUCCCCCUGAAAGGAAAGGAAAGGAAAACAACAGGAUUUUUCUGAUGAGGUUGGAGUUGAUCUCUGGGGUAAGCUGGUUGUCCAUUUGCAGCUCAGGGAAGAACUAUCUGAAUGGCAGAAGCGGGAAGCUGUGGCCUUGCUGCUGUUGCACACACUUUCCCAAUGGUGGCUAAUAAUGAUCCCUGCUUGAGCUUAAUUACCUCCCUACUAUCAUGGAGGGCAAAAAUCACUAGAGCUGUGAAGUGAGAAAUUUACUAGACUGUGCUGCCUGCUGUGAAAGCAAUGACUGUGCAGUCCCAUCUAUGAGUACUGAUGUGGGGAGAAGGGAGGGAAGGACUGGUCUUCAAGACUUAUAUGGGAGAAGUGGUAUGCUAGAUUCUCUGCCCCCUAUUCUUUUAGCAGAAUUCUUUGCCUUUUAUAACAGCUGUGAAAGUAACAGAAAUCCAGCUGCUGAAACCAACAUGUUACAAUAGGGAAAUGUUCACCUAAAGGCAACGGUGCUCUUGUCGUAUAUAUAAAAUUAUAUAAUACACACACACACAGGUUACACAGAAACUGGGAAAAUGACAAAUUGUUCUUUGAACAUCAGCUAUUAAGGAGUUUUCUCAUAGCCGGUCAGACAAUUUGUGCGCCUCUCCCACUAUAGGCUAUUCUGACUGGGAAGAGCUUUGUAGUGAUUCAGACAAAGACUCUUCCCCAGUACAUGCUACAACCAAUGAAGACUAUGUUCUACUACCACUGUCGGAGGGGGGUGUGCCUCUGAAUAUCAGUUCCUGGGAAUCACAAGUGGAGAGAGAGUUCACUGUGCUCCCUCAUUCCUGCUUGUGGUCUUCCCAUUUUGGUCAUCUGGUUGUCCACUGCGGCAGUAGGCUGUUGGACUCAAGGGGCCACUGGCUUGAUCCAGCAGCCAGGCUCUUCUUGCCUUCUUAUGUGCCUAAUCCUUCUUUCCUUUUUUCUUUAUUGCUGGAGAUGCCUGGGAUUGAAAUUGAUAUGAUCCCCAUGCAAAGAACAUGACCUGCCACUGAACUAUUGACUCUCUCCUACACUAGGUACCCAGAAAAGAUGCCCAAAGGCUGUCAGUGGUUGCAGUCCCUUAACACCUGGAAUGAAGAACCUGCUGUUGGAUGGCAACUCUCAUCAGCCCCAGCUACCAAGCACAAUUGUCAGGGAUGGUGGGAACUGUAGUCAUCGAGCAGCUACAGAGUCUCCAUCUACACUUAUCCUGGGAAUACAUGGAGCUACUUUAAAUUAACUGAAGCCAUUUGUUCAGUCAGAUCAGUUUUCACCCAGGUGGGGGCACAAGAACCAGGAGUAGUCCAGAGACACACCGUCAGACUCCCCAUGUCUCUUAUUCCAGUGCCAGGAUCUGGAUGGUGAACUACUUCUGCACAACAAAAAUGCACUGAGCAACACUUUGGAAAAUGAUGUUGCAUUUGACAGGUGGCAAUUAAGUGCUGCCACCACCACAACAAAGGACUCCCCCCCAAAAUGAAAGUUUACAAUAAGGAAUUGGGGAGAGGGAAGUGGCAGGGCAGACUUUUGCCCCCUAUGGCAAAUUUUGUAGAUCCAGCACAGCCUUUCAGUAACUUAAAUCCUUCCAGGGCCCUGAUCUUACUUGCAUGUCAAGAGACCCAAGAUGUAUUAAUAUACUGAAAUAAGCAAACUACCACAUCAUGUUACUUUGGUUACAUUUCACAUGGGAGGUUGGAGGAUCGUUCAAACUCAAAUGCUGAAACCCAGCCAAUUUCCAACUCUGCUGUUUCCAGUCUCGCACAAGUACCUAUUAGAUUCCAUCUCCACAUUUGUUCCCUCUUGGCACCAAAAGAGGUUUCUCCUGCCAUUGUUGUAAAAAUCCAGUGACCUGAUGCAACCUGUGCUUCAUCUCUCAGUCAUGGGUCAACGCUUGUUCAGCAAGUCUGAAUUCUCCAGUUUGCUGAACAGCACUUGGUCUGUGGCAAUGAGCUGGACCCUUUCCACAGCAAAAGCUGGUGCCUCCUAUUACAAUGGCAGCCAUACAUUGCAAAUGGUGGCAUAAAAGUUGCUCCUUCCUGUGUUGCUGGGGCACCGUAGAAAGCCCCAGCCCAUAUGCCAGGAAUGUAAUGGCAGCACCACACAAGUUCUCUUAGGAUCAGUGUUGGAUCAGUUCUGGCAGCACCACACAAGUUCUCUUAGGAUCAGUGUUGGAUCAGUUCUGGCAGCACCACACAAGUUCUCUUAGGAUCAGUGUUGGCAUGGUUUAUGGCUCUAACCAUAGAGAGGCC